UAGAGGAAGUAAAAGUCGUAACAAGGUUUCCGUAGGUGAACCUGCGGAAGGAUCAUUAUUGAAAUAAACUGACAGGUUGUUGCUGGUUCUCUAGGGAACAUGUGCACGCCUUGUCAUCUUUAUAUCUCCACCUGUGCACCUUUUGUAGACCUGGAUAUCUCUCUGAGUGCUUGCGCUCAGGUUUGAGGAUUGAUUCUUUUGUCUCUCCUUACAUUUCCAGGCCUAUGUUUCUUCAUAUACCCUAAUGUAUGUUAUAGAAUGUAAUAAAUGGGCCAUUUGUGCCUAUAAACAUAUACAACUUUCAGCAACGGAUCUCUUGGCUCUCGCAUCGAUGAAGAACGCAGCGAAAUGCGAUAAGUAAUGUGAAUUGCAGAAUUCAGUGAAUCAUCGAAUCUUUGAACGCACCUUGCGCUCCUUGGUAUUCCGAGGAGCAUGCCUGUUUGAGUGUCAUUAAUAUAAUCAACCUCUUCAGCUUUUGCUUGUUGAGUGUUGGAUGUGGGGGUAACUUUUUGCUGGCCUCUCUGAGGUCAGCUCCCCUGAAAUGUAUUAGCGGAAUAAUUUGUGGACCGUUCAUUGGUGUGAUAACUAUCUACGCUAUUGACGUGAAGCAAUUCUGCUUCUAACAGUCCAUUGACUUGGACAAAUUUCAUUAACUUGACCUCAAAUCAGGUAGGACUACCCGCUGAACUUAAGCAUAUCAAUAA
rnacentral:rRNA from 1 species